GAUGAACGCUAGCUACAGGCUUAACACAUGCAAGUCGAGGGACCGGCGCACGGGUGAGUAACACGUAUCCAACCUGCCCUUUACUCGGGGAUAGCCUGUCGAAAGAAAGAUUAAUACCCGAUAUAAAGGAUGGGGAUGCGUUCCAUUCGGUUGUGGGGGAGGUACCGGCCCACCAAGCCUUCGAUGGAUAGGGGUUCUGAGAGGAAGUUCCCCCACAUUGGAACUGAGACACGGUCCAAACUCCUAGGGGAUGCAGCAGUUAGGAAUAUUGGUUAAUGGGCGCUAGCCUGAACCAGCCAAGUAGCGUGAAGGAUGAAGGCUUAUGGGUCGUAAACUUCUUUUAUAUAAGAAUAUGUAUUAUAUGAAUAAGGAUCGGCUAACUCCGUGCCAGCAGCCGCGGUAAUAC
rnacentral:rRNA from 1 species